rnacentral:rRNA from 1 species
AAGGCAGCUUUCGGGAUCAUUACUGACACUGAGGAACGAAAGCAUGGGUAGCGAAGAGGAUUAGAUACCCUCGUAGUCCAUGCCGUAAACGAUGUGUGUUGGACGUUGGAAAUUUAUUUUCAGUGUCGCAGGGAAACCGAUAAACACACCGCCUGGGGAGUACGACCGCAAGGUUAAAACUCAAAUGAAUUGACGGGGACCCGCACAAGUAGUGGAGCAUGUGGUUUAAUUCGAAGAUACGCGCAGAACCUUACCAACACUUGACAUGUUCGUCGCGACUCUAAGAGAUUAGAGUUUUCGGUUCGGCCGGACGAAACACAGGUGCUGCAUGGCUGUCGUCAGCUCGUGUCGUGAGAUGUUGGGUUAAGUCCCGCAACGAGCGCAACCCUCACUUUUAGUUGCCAUCAUUAAGUUGGGCACUCUGAAAGAACUGCCAGUGAUAAGCUGGAGGAAGGUGGGGAUGACGUCAAGUCCUCAUGGCCCUUACGUGUUGGGCUACACACGUGCUACAAUGGCAUCUACAACAGGAAGCAAAACGGCAACGUUAAGCAAAUCCCGAAAAGAUGCCUCAGUUCGGAUUGCACUCUGCAACUCGAGUGCAUGAAGCUGGAAUUACUAGUAAUCGUGGAUCAGCGUGCCACGGUGAAUGCGUUCCCGGGUCUUGUACACACCGCCCGUCACACCAUGGGAGUUGGUUCUACCUUAAGGCAAGGUUUCAAACCCUUGACCACGGUAUAGUCAGCGACUGGGGUGAAGUCGUAACAAGGUAACCGUA